GGGGAGCAGCAGUGGGGAAUAUUGCACAAUGGGCGCAAGCCUGAUGCAGCCAUGCCGCGUGUGUGAAGAAGGCCUUCGGGUUGUAAAGCACUUUCAGCGGGGAGGAAGGCGGUGAGGUUAAUAACCUCAUCGAUUGACGUUACCCGCAGAAGAAGCACCGGCUAACUCCGUGCCAGCAGCCGCGGUAAUACGGAGGGUGCAAGCGUUAAUCGGAAUUACUGGGCGUAAAGCGCACGCAGGCGGUCUGUCAAGUCGGAUGUGAAAUCCCCGGGCUCAACCUGGGAACUGCAUUCGAAACUGGCAGGCUAGAGUCUUGUAGAGGGGGGUAGAAUUCCAGGUGUAGCGGUGAAAUGCGUAGAGAUCUGGAGGAAUACCGGUGGCGAAGGCGGCCCCCUGGACAAAGACUGACGCUCAGGUGCGAAAGCGUGGGGAGCAAACAGGAUU
rnacentral:rRNA from 1 species